rnacentral:rRNA from 1 species
UUAUUGGAGAGUUUGAUCCUGGCUCAGGACGAACGCUGGCGGCGUGCCUAAUACAUGCAAGUCGAGCGAAUCAAUGGGAGCUUGCUCCCUGAGAUUAGCGGCGGACGGGUGAGUAACACGUGGGUAACCUGCCUGUAAGAUUGGGAUAACUCCGGGAAACCGGAGCUAAUACCGGAUAAUAUUUUGAACCGCAUGGUUCAAAAUUGAAAGACGGCUUUUAGCUGUCACUUACAGAUGGACCCGCGGCGCAUUAGCUAGUUGGUGAGGUAACGGCUCACCAAGGCAACGAUGCGUAGCCGACCUGAGAGGGUGAUCGGCCACACUGGGACUGAGACACGGCCCAGACU